GGGGGGGGCCCUAUGUUUANCGCUUUCCUUCGGGACAUUCGAGACAGGUGGUGCAUGGUUGUCGUCAGCUCGUGUCGUGAGAUGUUGGGUUAAGUCCCGCAACGAGCGCAACCCUUAUCUUCAGUAGCCACGCGGUACGGCCGGGCACUCUGGAGAGACUGCCAGGGAUAACCUGGAGGAAGGUGGGGAUGACGUCAAAUCAUCAUGCCCCUUAUGGGCAGGGCUACACACGUGCUACAAUGGCGUAAACAAAGGGAGGCAGAGCCGCGAGGCCGAGCAAAUCUCAAAAAUAACGUCUCAGUUCGGAUUGUAGUCUGCAACUCGACUACAUGAAGCUGGAAUCGCUAUAAUCGCGAAUCAAAUGUCGCGGUGAAUACGUUCCCGGGUCUUGUACACCACCGA
rnacentral:rRNA from 1 species